CCAGGGGAAGCGGCUCCGCCGCUGGGGCCGGGCCCCUGUUUGUCCGGUGCCGGGUCCUUGGAGCCUGAAGGUGGUGGGCUUCCGCCAGAAGCCCCUGGCGGAAGCGGUGCCCGCGUGCGGGCCAGAGUGUGGGUGUGCAGGUCUCUGGGCGGCCCAAAGGGGUGCCCCUGCCUGGUAACCUAGCGGGAGGGUGGGGACGGCGGGGAGGGCGGCGGGCGCUGGGCACGGCUCCGCUGCUCAGGGCAGGCUCCGCCCCCAGGGGCGCGGAUUUAAAAGGAUCGAAGGCAGCCCGGGAGCCGAGCGGCGGGGAAGCGCGCCCGAACGAAGCCGCGGCCCGGGCACAGCCAUGGCCAGGCGGGCGGGGGGCGCUCGGCUGUUCAGCAGCCUCCUGCUCUUCGCCCUGCUCGCUGCCGCCGUCGCCCCGCUCAGCUGGGAUCUCCCGGAGCCCCGCAGCCGAGCCGGCAAGAUACGAGUGCACCCGCGAGGCAACCUCUGGGCCACCGGUCACUUCAUGGGCAAGAAGAGUCUGGAGCCUCCCAGCCCAUCCCCAUUGGGGACAGCUCCCCACACCUCCCUGAGGGACCAGCGACUGCAGCUGAGUCAUGAUCUGCUCGGGAUCCUCCUGCUAAAGAAGGCUCUGGGCGUGAGCCUCAGCCGCCCCGCACCCCACAUCCAGGAGGCUGCUGGUACAAAUACUGCAGAAAUGACACCAAUAAUGGGGCAGACACAACAGCGUGGCUUAGAUUGUGCCCACCCAGGGAAGGUGCUGAAUGGGACCCUGGUGAUGGCCCCGUCUGCAUGUAAAUCCUGAGCUCAAAUCUCUGUUACUCCAUUACUGUGAUUUCUGGUUGGGUCACCAGAAAUAUCGCUGACGCAGACACAGAUUAUGUUCCUGCUGUAUUUCCUGCUUCCCUGUUGAAUUGGUCCUGCUCGGAGCUGACAGCGGGAAAGUCCCGAUUUCAGGUCACUUUUCCCGGAGCUUUCGCGGAGAAAACCCGUAACCCA